UACCAACGGAUGUCAGAGAUUCUCUUAUAUAGGGACCAUUUAACAGUUCUACUUAAAGGUGGAAAAAUAUCCAUAGCAAAGUACCAACAUAUCUAUUUAGAGGAAAAGAUGGAGCUAUGUACACAGGAGAUGAGGCUUUUAUUUUCACAAGCUAAUAACACACAUUAUGCCUCGCCUAUUGGUGUCAGCUCUUUGAUUUAGAGAGAGAAGAGUUAACUUAAAGACCCUCAGGACAGAAACUGAAAGAGAUAAAGCUCCUGCGAGCCCUCUCCUCUCACACCAUCUACUGGAUCCAGGAAAAGAUGCAGAAAUGUGUCACCUAAGCAGUACACAGCUACAUAAUAAGCAUCCAAGAAUCAACCCCUGCAAUCAACCCCGGAGCCAACUCUGCCCGCACAUCUAUACAAGAAAUUUCAUGACUGGACCCAACUACAUCAGCCACCAAAUCAGAGGA